rnacentral:rRNA from 1 species
GAUGAACGCUGGCGGCGUGCCUAAUACAUGCAAGUCGAGCGAACAGAUGAGGAGCUUGCUCCUCUGACGUUAGCGGCGGACGGGGGAGUAACACGUGGAUAACCUACCUAUAAGACUGGGAUAACUUCGGGAAACCGGAGCUAAUACCGGAUAUUAUAUUGAACCGCAUGGUUCAAUAGUGAAAGACGGUUUUGCUGUCACUUAUAGAUGGAUCCGCGCCGCAUUAGCUAGUUGGUAAGGUAACGGCUUACCAAGGCAACGAUGCGUAGCCGACCUGAGAGGGUGAUCGGCCACACUGGAACUGAGACACGGUCCAGACUCCUACGGGAGGCAGCAGUAGGGAAUCUUCCGCAAUGGGCGAAAGCCUGACGGAGCAACGCCGCGUGAGUGAUGAAGGUCUUCGGAUCGUAAAACUCUGUUAUUAGGGAAGAACAAAUGUGUAAGUAACUAUGCACGUCUUGACGGUACCUAAUCAGAAAGCCACGGCUAACUACGUG